CCUGACCUCAUGAUCCACCCGCCUCGGCCUCCCAAAGUGCUGGGAUUACCGGCGCAAGCCACCGCGCUGGGCAAGAACCAGUGUUCUUAAGCAAGAAUACCUGUGAACUGAUGCAUUGGCGGGAUUGGCAAGCAAGAUGAGUCAUAGAGGGGCUUGGGUUUCAUCUUAACUGAGAUGAUAAGCCUCUAAAGGAUUUAAGUGGAGGCAUGACAGCAGACAGGCAUUUUGGAUUUCCCUGACUUCGCUGUGAUGAAUGGAGUGCAGGAGAAAAGACCGGGUAAUCAGGCUGCUAUAGUAUUCUAGGCAGGGAAGGGUGGGCUGAACUGAAGCAGCUGCACGAGGGAUGGAAUGCAGUGGAUCGGUGCGAGAAGCCAAGGAUUAACCUGUUGCACAGGUGCUUCCGGCUACAAGUAGAGAGUUUGAAGAAACUGGGUAAACAGGCCCAGGGCUGCAAGAUGGUGAUUUUGUGGCUGGCAGCCCUGCAACCCUGUAGCCCUGAACACAUGGCUGAGCCAGUCACUU
rnacentral:lncRNA from 10 species